GCGGCGGACGGGUGAGUAAUACUUAGGAAUCUACCUAGUAGUGGGGGAUAGCACGGGGAAACUCGUAUUAAUACCGCAUACGACCUACGGGAGAAAGGGGGCAGUUUACUGCUCUCGCUAUUAGAUGAGCCUAAGUCGGAUUAGCUAGAUGGUGGGGUAAAGGCCUACCAUGGCGACGAUCUGUAGCUGGUCUGAGAGGAUGAUCAGCCACACCGGGACUGAGACACGGCCCGGACUCCUACGGGAGGCAGCAGUGGGGAAUAUUGGACAAUGGGGGAAACCCUGAUCCAGCCAUGCCGCGUGUGUGAAGAAGGCCUUUUGGUUGUAAAGCACUUUAAGCAGUGAAGAAGACUCCGUGGUUAAUACCCACGGACGAUGACAUUAGCUGCAGAAUAAGCACCGGCUAACUCUGUGCCAGCAGCCGCGGUAAUACAGAGGGUGCAAGCGUUAAUCGGAAUUACUGGGCGUAAAGGGAGCGUAGGUGGCUCGAUAAGUCAGAUGUGAAAUCCCCGGGCUCAACCUGGGAACUGCAUCUGAUACUGUUGAGCUAGAGUAUGUGAGAGGAAGGUAGAAUUCCAGGUGUAGCGGUGAAAU
rnacentral:rRNA from 2 species